rnacentral:rRNA from 1 species
AACGAACGCUGGCGGCAUGCCUAACACAUGCAAGUCGAACGAGACCUUCGGGUCUAGUGGCGCACGGGUGCGUAACGCGUGGGAACCUGCCCUUAGGUUCGGAAUAACUCCCCGAAAGGGGUGCUAAUACCGGAUAAUGUCUUCGGACCAAAGAUUUAUCGCUUUUGGAUGGGCCCGCGUUGGAUUAGCUAGUUGGUAGGGUAAAAGCCUACCAAGGCGACGAUCCAUAGCUGGUCUGAGAGGAUGAUCAGCCACACUGGGACUGAGACACGGCCCAGACUCCUACGGGAGGCAGCAGUGGGGAAUAUUGGACAAUGGGCGAAAGCCUGAUCCAGCAAUGCCGCGUGAGUGAUGAAGGCCUUAGGGUUGUAAAGCUCGUUUACCCGGGAUGAUAAUGACAGUACCGGGAGAAUAAGCGCCGGCUAACUCCGUG